rnacentral:rRNA from 1 species
AUUGAACGCUGGCGGCAGGCCUAACACAUGCAAGUCGAACGAGUGGCGGACGGGUGAGUAAUGUCUGGGAAACUGCCUGAUGGAGGGGGAUAACUACUGGAAACGGUAGCUAAUACCGCAUACCAUCAUUUCUGCCCAGAUGUGAUUAUCUAGUUGGUGGGGUAACGGCGCACAAAGGCGACGAUCCCUAGCUGGUCUGAGAGGAUGACCAGCCACACUGGAACUGCUACACGGUCCAGACUCCUACGGUAGGCAGCAGUGGGGAAUAUUGCCCAAUGGGCGCAAGCCUGAUGCAGCCAUGCCGCGUGUAUGAAGAUGGCCUUCGGGUUGUAAAGUACUUUCAGCGGGGAGGCGUUACCCGAAGAAGAAGCACCGGCUAACUCCGUGCCAGCAGCCGCGGUAAUUG